GAUGUAACCCAACGCAGCAUGA
rnacentral:miRNA from 1 species